GACGGAGGGAGCAAGCGUUGUCCGGAUUUACUGGGCGUAAAGCGCGCGUAGGCGGCCUGCUAAGUCGGCUGUGAAAUUGCGGGGCUUAACUCCGCACCUGCAGUCGAUACUGGCAGGCUCGAGUUCGGGAGAGGGAAGUGGAAUUCCUGGUGUAGCGGUGGAAUGCGUAGAUAUCAGGAAGAACACCGGUGGCGAAGGCGGCUUCCUGGACCGAUACUGACGCUGAGGCGCGAAAGCUAGGGGAG
rnacentral:rRNA from 1 species